UACGUAGGGUGCGAGCGUUGUCCGGAAUUAUUGGGCGUAAAGGGCUCGUAGGCGGUUUGUCGCGUCGGGAGUGAAAAUCCAGGGCUUAACUCUGGACUGGCUUCCGAUACGGGCAGACUAGAGGUAUGCAGGGGAGAAUGGAAUUCCUGGUGUAGCGGUGAAAUGCGCAGAUAUCAGGAGGAACACCGGUGGCGAAGGCGGUCUCUGGGCAUGACCUGACGCUGAGGAGCGAAAGUGUGGGGAGCGAACAGG
rnacentral:rRNA from 1 species